rnacentral:rRNA from 1 species
AUACGGAGGGUCCAAGCGUUAUCCGGAAUCAUUGGGUUUAAAGGGUCCGUAGGCGGACUAUUAAGUCAGAGGUGAAAUCCCACAGCUCAACUGUGGAACUGCCUUUGAUACUGGUAGUCUUGAGUUAUAUGGAAGUAGAUAGAAUGUGUAGUGUAGCGGUGAAAUGCAUAGAUAUUACACAGAAUACCGAUUGCGAAGGCAGUCUACUACGUAUAUACUGACGCUAAGGGACGAAAGCGUGGGGAGCGAACAGGAUUAGAAACCCUAGUAGUCC